CUACGGGCCGCUGCAGUGAGGAAUAUUGCACAAUGGGGGGAACCCUGAUGCAGCAACGCCGCGUGGAGGAUGACGCAUUUCGGUGUGUAAACUCCUUUUAUAUGUCAAGAAAAUGACGGUAGCAUAUGAAUAAGCACCGGCUAACUCCGUGCCAGCAGCCGCGGUAAUAGGGAGGGUGCAAGCGUUACUCGGAAUCACUGGGCGUAAAGGACGCGUAGGCGGGUUGGAAAGUCAGGUGUGAAAUCCUACAGCUUAACUGUAGAACUGCACUUGAAACUUCUAAUCUAGAGUAUGGGAGGGGGAGAUGGAAUUAGUGGUGUAGGGGUAAAAUCCGUAGAUAUCACUAGGAGUACCUAAAGCGAAGGCGAUCUCCUGGAACAUUACUGACGCUAAGGCGUGAAAGCGUGGGGAGCAAACAGGAUUAGAUACCCCAGUAGUC
rnacentral:rRNA from 1 species